GACAGUUUGUGUGCAACUGUGUGCAUGUGAUGUGUGUGUGUGUGUGUGUGUGUGUGUGUGAUACUGAAUGCCUGUGGAUGUCCCAAAAUUUCUCAACAAAAGCUGCACUAAGAUUCUGCCAGCUCUUCUCAACCUUGAUCUUCCUUUUAUUUGUCCCACAGGAAACUUUUCCCAACCCCGUCGCUGGAAGUUCCGAUGUCUAUUUCUGGAGUUCGUCCACUUCGCCCCAAGACGCGACCUUUCCCCACUUCCUUUCAUCCACCAAAUGCGAGCGUGAAUGUGUGCAAGCAUGUCUGGGUGGAAAGGCGGGACAGAAAGGCGGACACAGCACAAUGAGGCAGAGGAUGAAGACAGGCAAAAAGCACAUUUUGAUGUUGCUUGGCUGGGGUUGAAGACACUGUGUGGUGCAUUACGGUGCAGUCUUUCAUGUGUAAGAAGCCAACAGUGGAAAGCCAUUCAGGUGCACUGGGGAAGCAUGCAGUGCUAAUCCAAAGAAAGCUGUGUGUCCUUAGCCACAUAGACUAUGCAUGAGAGUUGAAGGAAUUAAAUGAAAAUGUACGUUGUAAGUUCAGUGUUUAUAGUGAAGAGGCCACUGCAGUGGACAGCUAUCUAAAAGCCUUUUUUGUGCUUCUUUUGGAUUUUUAUGUCAAAAAUGCACACUGACCACUGGA